rnacentral:ribozyme from 1 species
AAGAAGAGAAGAAAAGAAGAACAAAAAGAGGUAGCCAUUCUAGACCCCUCCCUUACAUUCUAACUCUCCUUUUUUUUUUUUUUUUUUUUUUUUU